CUCUCUUAAUUUAUUUUUAAGCUCGGAGGAAAUUCGGCACAAAGGAAGCACGUUCGGCGUUGAGGGCAUCAACACAGGCAGGUGAUUCUUGCAGCUGAUUUGCAUCGCGCUGUCUUCCUUUCUGCACGGCUGCUUGAUUCCAAACACUUCGCUUUUCCUUUUUGGUGUGUGGGUGUUUUCUUUCAGGAGAGGGAAGGAGGGAGGGAGGGAGAGACAAACAGAGAGAGAGAGAGAGAGAGGAAAUUCAAGCCAAACGCGCCCCCCCCCAUCUAAUCCUGCAUCCGAGCAUUCCUUGUUCUUGCAGCGGCCAGAAAGAUGCCCCCAAACAAAAGCUCACAACCAUCUCCUGUGCCUUCCAGCAACUGGCAGUCAGAAGCAUUUACGUUCCUGCCUUGGAGACAAGAGCAGAGCCCUUGAGGUUUGCAGCCACAAAUUUGUCAAAUAGUUUAAAAGACAUCGAAACUGGUUGAGCGUCACUGCGAGUCCUGCAGCUCAACUAUGCGCCUUGCGAAGAUGGCUUUCCUUUUAUCCGAUCUGAAUUGCCCAACGUUCAGCUUGUGGAUUCAUAGAGUUGGAAGGGAGCCCCAAAGGCCAUCCAAUCUGACCCCCUCCCCCAGUAACACAGGAAUCUCAACCAAACUGUCUGGCCAGAGUGGGG